rnacentral:rRNA from 1 species
AGAGUUUGAUCCUGGCUCAGAAUCAACGCUGGCGGCGUGCCUAACACAUGCAAGUCGAACGAGAAAGUGGAGCAAUCCAUGAGUAAAGUGGCGACCGGGUGAGUAACACGUGACUAACCUACCUUCGAGUGGGGGAUAACCUCGGGAAACCGAGGCUAAUACCGCAUAACAUCGCAAGAUCAAAGCAGCAAUGCGCUGGAAGAGGGGGUCGCGGCUGAUUAGCCAGUUGGCGGGGUAACGGCCCACCAAAGCGAAGAUCGGUAGCCGGCCUGAGAGGGCGCACGGCCACACUGGAACUGAAACACGGUCCAGACUCCUACGGGAGGCAGCAGUGGGGAAUUUUGCGCAAUGGGGGAAACCCUGACGCAGCAACGCCGCGUGGAGGAUGAAGCCCCUUGGGGCGUAAACUCCUU